GCUGCCACAUAACAAAAUUACUUUCAAAUAUGUAUCCUUUGCAAAAAUAUAUUGAGUAAAGAAGCUAGUUAGUUGCCAAAAUUACUUUUGUUGUCCACUUGAAAUGGUUCAAUAUGUAUCCAUUGCAAAAAUAUAUUGAGUAAAGAAGCUAGUUAGUUGCCAAAAUUACCUUUGUUGUCCACUUGAAAUGGUUCAAUAUGUAUCCAUUGCAAAACAAGGCAUUUUGAUAGCACUCCUAUGACAAGUGAGUUCUAUCUAUUUUAGAAAUGGGCAUCAUCUAGCUGGACCGCUAAUAUUUGUAGUUUUGCUUUGGACCUAUUACUAUUUUCUAUAUAUGAUUAUCAUAUGAGGUGGUGGUGGACUGGUGGUCACCCAUUGGCCCAAAGGGACAAUUUUUUGGUCGCAGUUAGAAUAGCUAAAGAUCUGGGUUCAUACUGGGGAUGCAUGUUCUUUUAGUUUUUAUUUUGAAUAGUCUUGGAAAUUAAUUGACAAGUCUGGCUGAUAUGCUCAUUGCUCAUGAGAAAAUUAACACAAAUCAUAUUGUCAUGCUCCUGAAACUGAUAGGGAGAAUGGUUCCUCGAAGAGCGGUAGUAGUUCAAGUUCACUGCUGACUUUAUGCACCUAUAUUUAGGAACAGGGCAACAAAUGUAGUCAACUGAAGAGCUUAUUCUACAACAUUUCAGUUUGUAGAAUAGUGAUCAGCCAAUCUGCAAGAACCCUUUCUUCCUCCCGGGUUCACACCCCAUGUCCUGGCACAACUGGUCAUUGUACCAGAUGUGGAGAGCUCCAGCGCAAGAUCCAUGGAAGUAUUCACGAGAGUACCUCUUCAUGUAUUCAUCCCAUUCCUUUAUAUCCAUCUCCAUAGAUUUUAUGCUAGGCAACUGAAAUGCUCCAUCAUGGAAAUGUGUCAACCAUUUGGAGUGCAUGUUGCUAUGCUCUCAGAGUAGCCGAUGAUCGCCAAUUGCGUGGUCCUAGGAUGCACGCAUUGCCUGCCCAGUUCACAAAAUUCACUGUGAGCUUCUGCAUAUGUACAGACAGACAAACAAACAUGUUUAAGAGAAAGACAGAUUAAACCUGUAGAGAGGAAUACUACUGGAUGGCGGGCCAGUCACAGUGUCUCUGAGCAAGGAUGAUGUGAACAUCCCCUUGAGCUUUUGGUCUGCUUUGUAUCCGGUGACGAAUAUGACCACAUCGCUCUUUAUAUAUCGGCGUGGAUUCUCCUUCGACAAUCACACCUUGUUUGCAGAAACUGAAGCUCUUUGCUUUCUUGAGAACAAUGCUUCCUUGAUCAACCAUGUCAUAGAAUUUGUCUAGCAAUAUGGCAACCAAGCAUGAGCUGAUGGCCUGGAGGAAACUGUGGUCUGGCACCAUGCCGUGCCUAUCCAUAGGCACCGCCCAUCUGUAGUAGCUCUCGACAAACUUCGAAAGGAGCCAUCUCUGAUCAGUGUAUAUAUUCAGGUUGAAUAAAUGCAUGAGCACAAAUAGAUGAUCUGUAGUUACUUAAAAGAGUGGUGUGGUAUAAGUAGAAACUCUGGCUGGUGGCCAUUACCAAGGGUGAUAAGAAGGUAGCAAGAAUGCUAAGGAUCAGCCCCUCUCCUGGCUUGUGAACUAGGAGCUCCGAGAAGUGGUUGAGGUAGAAGAAUGCAAUGGGAAUGCCCCAGGCGUAGUAGUCAGCAAUGUCAACAGCGGACUUCUGGUAACCGACAACAGUACCGAAAAAGGCUUUCGCCCCUGAUAAGCUCGGUGGACUUUGCAGCGCCCAUGUCGGAGUGGAUCACCGUGCCGUCAAAGUUCUCCAGCCCUUUGUUCGGCGGGAAUGUGGGAAUGUUGGGGACGCCGCUGAAUCUCCCAGUGCACAGGAUCACAAAGUCAGUGACGUAUGUCUGGAAAUCAGCUGUUGCCGACGCACCAAUCUGUUCAAGUGUUGAUGCAGACCUGUUUUCUCACUGUCAACUAUUGUCACUUUGUCAGCUCUUAACUACAAUGUUUUUACUGCUAGUGCAAGAAAAUUAUUAUUUUCACCU